GUUGUAGUCUGGAGAAGUGCUUUCCGCGCUGGACCGUGUACAAGUCUCUUGGAACAGAGCGUCAUAGAGGGUGAGAAUCCCGUCUUUGACACGGACUACCAGUGCUUUGUGAUGCGCUCUCAAAGAGUCGAGUUGUUUGGGAAUGCAGCUCAAAAUGGGUGGUGAAUUCCAUCUAAAGCUAAAUAUUGGCGAGAGACCGAUAGCGAACAAGUACCGUGAGGGAAAGAUGAAAAGCACUUUGGAAAGAGAGUUAAACAGUACGUGAAAUUGCUGAAAGGGAAACGCUUGAAGUCAGUCGCGUUGUCCAGAACUCAGCCUUGCUUCGGCUUGGUGCAUUUUCUGGGCGACGGGCCAGCAUCGAUUUUGACCGUCGGAAAAGGGUUGAAGGAAUGUGGCACCUUCGGGUGUGUUAUAGCCUUCAGCCGCAUACGACGGUUGGGAUCGAGGAACGCAGCGCGCCUUAUGGCUGGGGUUCGCCCACAUUCGCGCUUAGGAUGCUGGCAUAAUGGCUUUAAACGACCCGUCUUGAAACACGGACCAAGGAGUCUAACAUGCCUGCGAGUGUUUGGGUGGAAAACCCGAGCGCGUAAUGAAAGUGAAAGUUGAGACCUCUGUCGUGGAGGGCAUCGACGCCCGGACCUGACGUUCUCUGACGGAUCCGCGGUAGAGCAUGUAUGUUGGGACCCGAAAGAUGGUGAACUAUGCCUGAAUAGGGUGAAGCCAGAGGAAACUCUGGUG
rnacentral:rRNA from 1 species